GAUGAACGCUGGCGGCGUGCCUAAUACAUGCAAGUCGAGCGAACAGACGAGGAGCUUGCUCCUCUGACGUUAGCGGCGGACGGGUGAGUAACACGUGGAUAACCUACCUAUAAGACUGGGAUAACUUCGGGAAACCGGAGCUAAUACCGGAUAAUAUAUUGAACCGCAUGGUUCAAUAGUGAAAGACGGUUUUGCUGUCACUUAUAGAUGGAUCCGCGCCGCAUUAGCUAGUUGGUAAGGUAACGGCUUACCAAGGCAACGAUGCGUAGCCGACCUGAGAGGGUGAUCGGCCACACUGGAACUGAGACACGGUCCAGACUCCUACGGGAGGCAGCAGUAGGGAAUCUUCCGCAAUGGGCGUAAGCCUGACGGAGCAACGCCGCGUGAGUGAUGAAGGUCUUCGGAUCGUAAAACUCUGUUAUUAGGGAAGAACAAAUGUGUAAGUAACUAUGCACGUCUUGACGGUACCUAAUCAGAAAGCCACGGCUAACUACGUG
rnacentral:rRNA from 1 species